GGUGAGAUGGCCGAGUUGGUUAUGGCGCCAGGUUAAGGUUCUCUUAACACUAAUUCCUGGUCACGAAAGUGGCGUGGGUUCGAGUCCCACUCUCAUCA
rnacentral:tRNA from 1 species